rnacentral:tRNA from 1 species
AAAUUUUUAGUUUAUAAUAAAACAUUAAAUUGCAAAUUUAAAAAAAUAAUUAUUUAAUUUUAAAAUUUU